rnacentral:rRNA from 1 species
GUUACGUAGAUAGAGGGUGGGCUCGAACGAAGAGCCGUAACACAGGUGCUGCAUGGCUGUCGUCAGCUCGUGUCGUGAGAUGUUGGGUUAAGUCCCGCAACGAGCGCAACCCUUGUCAUUAGUUGCUACAUUCAGUUGGGCACUCUAAUGAGACUGCCGGUGACAAGCCGGAGGAAGGUGGGGAUGGCGUCAAGUCCUCAUGGCCCUUAUAGGUGGGGCUACACACGUCAUACAAUGGCUGGUACAAAGGGUUGCCAACCCGCGAGGGGGAGCCAAUCCCAUAAAGCCAGUCGUAGUCCGGAUCGUAGUCUGCAACUCGACUACGUGAAGUCGGAAUCGCUAGUAAUCGUGGAUCAGAAUGUCACGGUGAAUACGUUCCCGGGUCUU